GGAUUAGAUACCCUGGUAGUCCACGCCCUAAACGAUGAGAACUAGCCGUUGGGGGUAUUUGAAACCUUUAGUGGCGCAGCUAACGCGAUAAGUUCUCCGCCUGGGGAGUACGGCCGCAAGGUUAAAACUCAAAGGAAUUGACGGGGGCCCGCACAAGCGGUGGAGCAUGUGGUUUAAUUCGAUGCAACGCGAAGAACCUUACCUGCCCUUGACAUCCUCGGAACCGGUCGGAGACGGCCGGGUGCCUUCGGGAGCCGAGAGACAGGUGCUGCAUGGCUGUCGUCAGCUCGUGUUG
rnacentral:rRNA from 1 species